CAGGAUGCUGAGGAAGUCCCCAAGGGCCCCUCCAAGCCCAUCUGAGCCUGGGAGGAGACGAAACUUCCCCGAGGGAAGUAAGCAGAAGAGCCCGCAGCACCAGGAGCUGUGUGUGCCUCAGCCCUUCCGUGCUGAUUCACCAUCACCUGCUAAUGCCUCCUGCUUUAUGGGGCCAGACUUGGAGGAGAAAGAGGCCCUGGACUACAUCGACGGCUUUCUCAAGGGCAAUGAACAGGACGAGGCCAAGAAACUUAAGGUCUUUGAUUGCUUAUCAGCACCUUCAGCAGAGCCAUCCUCAGUAGGAGCCCAGAGAGAAACCUGGCUGCUUUUCUCAGCAAAGCCCUCCUUGUGGAGAAGAUAAAGCAAAGUGAAGCCACCGCUGUGGGGAAUGGAACAAUCCAACCUGCUCGCCACCUGCUUCUCCAGCAUCUUCUCCCUGCCUCCAGCACAGACCAUCUAGGGCGUGGAGGCUGCUCUGAACACCAAGUACGAUCAGAACACGAGAGAUCCUCAGGCCAGAGGGUAAACAAGCUCAAAAGAAAAAAGGGAAGAGACAGCUGAAAAGGAAAAUUCACCAGCCUCAACGGCUGAUGGAUGGAUGAAGCCCAGUAAAUAUAUUUUGCUUUUUGGUUUGGUUAUUUGAUGAGGUUGUGUAUUUUAAGUAAAUACAUAGG